GGAAACUGCUAGGGGCGCGAAUUAUCGCUGAGAUAAGGAUUAUCCUUUGUCCCUCAACACCUGAUCUGGUUCGUACCAGCGUAGGGAAGUAGUCUGGACCUCUG
rnacentral:ncRNA from 2 species